rnacentral:rRNA from 1 species
UGGGGAAUAUUGCACAAUGGGCGAAAGCCUGAUGCAGCAACGCCGCGUGAGUGAUGAAGGUCUUCGGAUUGUAAAGCUCUGUCUUUUGGGACGAUAAUGACGGUACCAAAGGAGGAAGCCACGGCUAACUACGUGCCAGCAGCCGCGGUAAUACGUAGGUGGCGAGCGUUGUCCGGAUUUACUGGGCGUAAAGGGUGCGUAGGCGGAUGUUUAAGUGAGAUGUGAAAUACCCGGGCUUAACUUGGGUGCUGCAUUUCAAACUGGAUAUCUAGAGUGCAGGAGAGGAGAAUGGAAUUCCUAGUGUAGCGGUGAAAUGCGUAGAGAUUAGGAAGAACACCAGUGGCGAAGGCGAUUCUCUGGACUGUAACUGACGCUGAGGCACGAAAGCGUGGGUAGCAAACAGGAUUAGAUACCCUGGUAGUCCACGCCGUAAAACGAUGAGUACUAGGUGUAGGAGGUAUCGACCCCUUCUGUGCCGCAGUAAACACAUU